rnacentral:lncRNA from 1 species
UAGCUAUCAUGUUUUGUUCAUUAUUCUACCUUCAGGACCUAAAAUAGUACCUGCACAAUGACUUUGCUAAAUGAAUAAUUGAAUGGAUAAAGGGUAAGCUGCUUCCCUAUGCCAUCAUUGACUAGUUGACUUAAAAAAAUUUUUUUAACAUAUAUUUUUGUGGAAGGAUGGUUCUCACUGUCAGACAUCAAUAAGUUAGUUUGAGUUGCAGAAGGUAA